UACAGAGGGUGCAAGCGUUAAUCGGAAUUACUGGGCGUAAAGCGUGCGUAGUCGGUUAUCUAAGUCGGGUGUGAAAUCCCCGGGCUCAACCUGGGAAUUGCAUUCGAUACUGGAUAGCUAGAGUUCGGCAGAGGGAAGCGGAAUUUCGGGUGUAGCGGUGAAAUGCGUAGAUAUCCGAAGGAACACCCAUAGCGAAGGCAGCUUGCUGGGACGUUACUGACGCUAAGGCGCGAAAGCGUGGGGAGCGAACAGG
rnacentral:rRNA from 1 species